GACGAACGCUGGCGGCGUGCUUAACACAUGCAAGUCGAACGGAAAGGCCCUGCUUUUGUGGGGUGCUCGAGUGGCGAACGGGUGAGUAACACGUGAGUAACCUGCCCUUGACUUUGGGAUAACUUCAGGAAACUGGGGCUAAUACCGGAUAGGAGCUCCUGCUGCAUGGUGGGGGUUGGAAAGUUUCGGCGGUUGGGGAUGGACUCGCGGCUUAUCAGCUUGUUGGUGGGGUAGUGGCUUACCAAGGCUUUGACGGGUAGCCGGCCUGGGAGGGUGACCGGCCACAUUGGGACUGAGAGACGGCGCAGACUGCUACGGGAGGCAGCAGUGGGGAAUAUUGCACAAUGAGCGGAAGCCUGAUGCAGCAACGCCGCGUGCGGGAUGACGGCCUUCGGGGUGUAAACCGCUUUCGCCUGUGACGAAGCGUGAGUGACGGUAAUGGGUAAAGAAGCACCGGCUAACUACGUG
rnacentral:rRNA from 1 species